CCUCAGAUUGAUCACCUGAGGUGAGCCAUGAGUCAGCCAGAGGAGCACAGGUGAAGGCAAUUCACCUGUGCUGCUGGAAGGGGUGGAGCCUGGCUGCACCUCUCCUAGACCUAUUUAAGAGCUGGCUGCCAGUGGGGAAGGAUCUCUUCUGGAGAUUUGCUCUGCUGGAGUUUUGGAAGUGAACCCAGGAUAGGGGUGCUCUCCUUGGGGGUGUUCAAGACCAGAUUGGAUGAGGCCCUGGGCAAAGCAAACCAGUCUACUACCAGAUCUGGAGGUUGAUGGCCUUGCCUGUGACAGAGGGAUUGAAACUUGAUGAUCCUUAGAAUGGCUUGGGUUGGAAGGGACCCUAUGACUAUGAUUCUCUGUGAGCUUGAGUUAGGCUCUUUGAUCUAGUGAUUUAAAAGGGCCUUAUAGUGAACAAAAAUCUGUCAAUUUGUGUAGGCUUUGCAUCACUGAAAUCACUGAAAGGUGAAAGGAAGACAACAUGGUGAGCAGAGGAAAAGACGUCCUGUGCUGCUCAUUGUUGCCAAGGACAGAGCUCAGAAAAGAAGUCAGGAAUGAGAUGAUCAUCCUCAGCAUUAGCCAUGGACACCAUCUCUUACACAUGUCUACACAGUCCCUCUUCCUCUGAAUAAAUAUUCUAUCUGAUCUUCAGCAUUUGAAAGAUCUUCUGUAACUUUUAGGCACAUUGAACGCUAGAUAACGUGUCCAAGAUUUCAAAGAGCCUCAUCGCAUAGGAACAGUCUGAGAUUUUUGGGAUCUGUCACAAAAAACUUGAGACCACAGGAUUGAGAGCACUUAUGCAAGAGGGGAGAUAUAUUCACAUGCACACAAGAAUUGCCUUCAAAGAUUUGCGUGAAAUUAUUCAGAUGAAGAAACCCUAGAUCCUUUCCUUAAAAUAGCUUCUGGCAGAGUUAUCUUAGGGGACUUUUCAC